GCGGGAAUAGCUCAGUUGGUAGAGCACGACCUUGCCAAGGUCGGGGUCGCGAGUUGUAAGCGAACGGGCAUCACACC
rnacentral:tRNA from 1 species